CCACCAGAGGAUAGGAGGGUAGCCCAGUGAUGCGGCGGGAGGCAAGGCGAAGACAACCAGAGGCCCCCCUGGGGGCAGGGCACAAAAGAGUUUCGGAGGUAGAGGAAGAGAAAAGACGGACACAGUCCUCAGGAAAGACGCAGGAGGCUGGAGGUCGGGGCGGGGGAGAGAAAGCCUUCCCACAGAGGCAGCCCUCCUGCUGAGGUGGUAUUUCAGAGCGGAGACCGGCAGGAAGGAAGAGGCAUCCCUGAAUGGAUCUGAUCACUGAGGGUGCUGGCCUCUCAGAGAACACACCUCCUGGGUCCACUGUCCACUGGCUGAUUGCUCUUGCUUGAGGACCCAACA